GAUGAACGCUAGCGGCAGGCCUAAUACAUGCAAGUCGAACGGUGUCUUCGGACAUAGUGGCGCACGGGUGCGUAACACGUAUGCAACCUACCUUACAUUGGGGGAUAGCCUUUCGAAAGGGAGAUUAAUACCGCAUAAGACAGUAGCUGGGCAUCCAGCAGCUGUUAAAGAUUUAUCGAUGUAAGCUGGGCAUGCGUCCAAUUAGCUAGUUGGUGAGGUAACGGCUCACCAAGGCAAUGAUUGGUAGGGGAACUGAGAGGUCAAUCCACUACCCUGGCACUGGGAUACGGGCCAGACUCCUACGGGAGGCAGCAGUAGGGAAUAUUGGGCAAUGGACGCAAGUCUGACCCAGCCAUGCCGCGUGCAGGAUGAAGGCGUUAUGCGUUGUAAACUGCUUUUAUACAGGAAGAAACGACUCUUGCGAGAGGCAUUGACGGUACUGUAUGAAUAAGCACCGGCUAACUCCGUGCCAGCCGCCGCGGUAACAC
rnacentral:rRNA from 1 species